rnacentral:rRNA from 1 species
GUCCACGCCCUAAACGAUGUCAACUGGUUGUCGGGGAAGUUUUCCUUGGUAACGAAGCUAACGCGUGAAGUUGACCGCCUGGGGAGUACGGCCGCAAGGUUAAAACUCAAAGGAAUUGACGGGGACCCGCACAAGCGGUGGAUUAUGUGGAUUAAUUCGAUGCAACGCGAAAACCUUACCUACCCUUGACAUGUGCGGAAGGGGGUAGAGAUACCUCGGUGCCCGAAAGGGAACCGCAACACAGGUGCUGCAUGGCUGUCGU